GAUGAACGCUGACAGAAUGCUUAACACAUGCAAGUCUACUUGAACUUCGGUUUGGGUGGCGGACGGGUGAGUAACGCGUAAAGAACUUGCCUCACAGUUAGGGACAACAUUUGGAAACGAAUGCUAAUACCUGAUAUUAUGAUUUUAGGGCAUCCUAGGAUUAUGAAAGCUAUAUGUGCUGUGAGAGAGCUUUGCGUCCCAUUAGCUAGUUGGAGAGGUAACGGCUCACCAAGGCGAUGAUGGGUAGCCGGCCUGAGAGGGUGAGCGGCCACAAGGGGACUGAGACACGGCCCUUACUCCUACGGGAGGCAGCAGUGGGGAAUAUUGGACAAUGGACCAAAAGUCUGAUCCAGCAAUUCUGUGUGCACGAUGACGUUUUUCGGAAUGUAAAGUGCUUUCAGUUGGGAAGAAAAAAAUGACGGUACCAACAGAAGAAGUGACGGCUAAAUACGUG
rnacentral:rRNA from 1 species